CACGUAGGCACCAAGCGUUAUCCGGAUUUAUUGGGCGUAAAGAGCUCGUAGGCGGUUCGGUAAGUCGGGUGUGAAAACUCUGGGCUCAACCCAGAGAGGCCACCCGAUACUGCUGUGACUAGAGUGCGGUAGGGGAGCGGGGAAUUCCUGGUGUAGCGGUGAAAUGCGCAGAUAUCAGGAGGAACACCGAUGGCGAAGGCAGGUCUCUGGGCCAUUACUGACACUGAGAAGCGAAAGCAUGGGGAGCGAACAGG
rnacentral:rRNA from 1 species